AAGCCAGACAAUGAAUCUGCUUAUCUGAAUGUGUUUCUGCAGAAAUUUAGAAGUAGCUAGUAAUAGUGAUGCCAUUUUAUGAGCCAUAAGGACAAAUUGAGAUCAUUACAGUCCCUCACAAUGACUACAAUG
ensembl:snoRNA